CUAUUGAUACAUUUUAACUGUGAUGCCUUUCCAAAACAUUGAAGUGGCCAAGAGAAUUUUACUCUCAAUGCCCAGUGGGAACUCAAGCUCAUAACCCCGAGACCAAGAGUCCCAUGUUCUACAGACUGAGCCAGCCAGGCGCCCUUGUACUGUCUCUCCCAACAAGAAGACACCUAGACACAGAGUCUCAGGUUUCCUAAUCAAGUAACAGAAGAGACUUUAGGUUAUGUAGAAAGAUCAAUCAUGUUAAAUCAAGACUAUCAAAGUUCAACAGCAAGCUCGAGGGAAAAGAAUUUUUCCAUGAGGAAGAAAAACAGAGACAAGAGGAGCAGAGUGCCCUGACCCCUGUGAUGUCAACUUUUUACCUGCAGAGCUUGACUGGUGCAUCAAAACUCAUCUCCUUGGCCCGGGAAGAUGUAGUGACCCCAGCAUCCUCUAGGACCCCAGUGGGCCUGGUCUGGUGGCUGCUUUUGUAGAGGGACCCCAGAGCAUGGGCAAUUCCAGGGUCCAGGCGGUGCCGAGGGGACUGCUCAGUGCCCACCUGACUCAGGGCCCAUGCAGCCUACCUCAGUCCUGUGGGCAGCUCAGAGCACAGGCGCAUUUCCUUCAGCAUGGUCCUGGUCUCAGCCAUAGCCACAGCCUGACGCCACGCACGGCCAUGUUCAGACGACCCAGACAAGGCUGUCAGAGCUUUUUGUGGCCUGUGUCUAUUAGCUUUCCUGGGUUGCUGACUUCUUCAGUUCCAUUCUGGGACCAAUGAGGCAAGACCAAAACCCAAGGAACUCACGUGUCGGUCAAGGUUUCUAGCCAGCCUGCCUUCCCUUCUCCAUUUCUGUCUUCUUCUGUCUGCUUUACACAUAAUAUCCAGGGGUUUUAGUUGUACUUUGCAGGAGAAAUAGGGCAAAGUGUGUCUAUGCCAUCUUCCGAGAAAUGAAAGUCAUUGUUUUUGAUGGCUAAAUAAUGUGCAUGGCAUAUAGUUCAUUAACCGGUCUCUCUCUGAUAGCAUUGAGGUUGUUUCAAGGGUGUUUUUUUGUUGUUGUUUUUUG